rnacentral:rRNA from 1 species
UAGAGAAUCUGCCCUGUACUGGGGGACAACAGAGGGAAACUUCUGCUAAUACCCCAUAUGAGCGUACCUGCGAUGGUAUUCUUGAAAGUUCAGGCGGUACAGGAUGAGUCUGCAUCUGAUUAGCUAGUUGGUGGUGUAAUGGACUACCAAGGCGACGAUCAGUAGCUGGUUUGAGAGGAUGAUCAGCCACAAUGGGACUGAGACACGGCCCAUACUCCUACGGGAGGCAGCAG